rnacentral:SRP_RNA from 1 species
ACACGGGCAAGUCCCGUACGGCCAGCUCCCUGUGAAUCCCCCAGGGUGGGAACGCAGCAAGGGUAGCAGGUUGUAGCGGCGCGAUACGGGUAGCUUGCCCACC